rnacentral:lncRNA from 1 species
AAUAUAACUGGCAAGGUUUGAUUUCAGAGUUCUAUUGAGCACUGGGUCAAUCAGUCAAUUAGAAAAGCACCUCUCAUUUCAUGUUUUAUGUAUCUCCGACUUCCUGAUGAACUUUCUGCAAUAGUUGGUCUUUUAAGGUUCUUGGUUCAACUGAAAAAAUUUAGGAGUCUUGUGUGCUUUGCAGAUGGGCACCUUCAAGCGAAGUGCGAAUUGUGUUCAGGCUGUUGUCUGCAUGCCCUGGCAUCUACUUCCCUCAUCACCCAUUCUCAGAAGUUGUCCUAUAAGAACACCUUAAAGAUCUAUAUCUAUAUGAAUGUUUUACGUACCAUAUUUCUUUGUUUGAACCCUGAGACACAUGAGAUCACUGACUUUUGCAGCUUCUACAUCCCUUCUUCAAUAUUUGGCAGCCAAAAUUACUCGACAUCGAAAGCUGCUUCCUCGUACGACAAUGUGGUUACUCAGACUCCUUUGCUCCAGCUGAUGAAUGAUGCUCUCAUUGUGGCGAAACAGAAGGACUAUGAUGUGUUCAAUGCGUUAGAUGUCAUGCAUAAUGAAUCUUUCUUGAAGGAGCUGAAAUUCGGGCCUGGUGAUGGUCAGCUUCAUUAUUAUCUGUACAACUACUGGAUACGACAGGCUUUGAGGCAAUCUGAGCUAGGGCUCGUGCUUUUGUAGUUAGUUGUACCAGGCAAAGAAUUUAUACUUAUCUUCAUUGAGAGGACCAGGAAAAAUGUGUUGUUUGAUGUCUUAUUUGUGCAUGAUGGUUUGUUUGCUUGACUCACAAUGGUUGUCUGGCAGUUUGAUCUUCUCUUGUGUGAAGGACUUUUAUAUGUGAUCAAAUUCUCUGUAGUCUUUCUUGAGACGGUUGUUGGAUAUUUCUUACACCUGAUUGUGUAUAGUUCUUCUUUAUGAGCAUGCAAAAUUGGAAUAUUUUUCUUUUGUUUUCCUUUGAUCCCUAUCUCUAUUGAUCAUGUUGUUUCCUUCACAUAUUCUGUACAUCUUCCAUCAUCCUGCAUUUCAUAGUUUUCUGUUUGAUAUCACUGUGAAUGUUAUUGUCUAAAUGUUCAUCCAUCCUGUAUAUUCUAUAUAAAGCUGCAAUUAGCUUUGUUAGUUUUCAUCAUUAGCAGCACUAAUUUCAAACCCAUGGUCAAACUCAUAGCAGACAGUUUGAGAGAUUAAUAAGGGAUGCUCUUUUGUUUUUGAUUGGUCAUAAUUAUGAUUUUUUUCUUGGACAGUUUGAUGGUAUAGGAAUGUUGAGCUUCUGAUUAAUUUAGGAAGACUUGUAUUAGAUCUGACCGAGCAAGGAAAACCUUGUGGAUCCGUAAGUAGUCUAUGUCUAGAAAAAUUUCACUCUAUUCAUUUUUAGUGCGUCAGAAAGAGUAUGUUGCAGGACCUUGUAUCUUUUGGUGCGGACCCCCUUUUUGUCUUCCAACAAGGUUGGUAUUCAAUAUAACUGGCAAGGUUUGAUUUCAGAGUUCUAUUGAGCGCUGGGUCAAUCAGUCAAUUAGAAAAGCACCUCUCAUUUCAUGUUUUAUGUAUCUCCGACUUCCUGAUGAACUUUCUGCAAUAGUUGGUCUUUUAAGGUUCUUGGUUCAACUGAAAAAAUUUAGGAGUCUUGUGUGCUUUGCAGAUGGGCACCUUCAAGCGACGUGCGAAUUGUGUUCAGGCUGUUGUCUGCAUGCCCUGGCAUCUACUUCCCUCAUUGCCCAUUCUCAGAAGUUGUCCUAUAAGAACACCUUAAAGAUCUAUAUCUAUAUGAAUGUUUUACGUACCAUAUUUCUUUGUUUGAACCCUGAGACACAUGAGAUCACUGACUUUUGCAGCUUCUACAUUCUC